rnacentral:rRNA from 1 species
GAUGAACGCUGGCGGCGUGCUUAACACAUGCAAGUCGAGGGGCAGCGGGUGUAGCAAUACAUGCCGGCGACCGGCGAAAGGGUGAGUAACGCGUGAGCAACGUGCCCGUAUGUGGGGGAUAGUCGAUGGAAACGUCGCGUAAUACCCCGUAACACAUGGUCUCGCAUGGGAUUAUGUUGAAAGAUUUAUUGCAUACGGAUCGGCUCGCGUGCCAUUAGGUAGACGGCGGGGUAACGGCCCACCGUGCCGACGAUGGCUAGGGGUUCUGAGAGGAAGGUCCCCCACAUUGGAACUGAGACACGGUCCAGACUCCUACGGGAGGCAGCAGUGAGGAAUAUUGGACAAUGGCCGGAAGGCUGAUCCAGCCAUGCCGCGUGCGGGAAGACGGCCCUAUGGGUUGUAAACCGCUUUUGCGAGGGAGCAAUAAGGGUCACGUGUGGCCCGAUGAGAGUACCUCGCGAAUAAGCAUCGGCUAACUCCGUGCCAGCCGCCGCAGUAAAAC